rnacentral:misc_RNA from 1 species
GAUGAAGAACGCAGCGAAAUGCGAUAAGUAAUGUGAAUCGCAGAAUUCAGUGAAUCAUCGAAUCUUUGAACGCACAUUGCGCCCCUCGGUAUUCCGAGGGGCAUGCCUGUUCGAGCGUCAUUAUAACCCUUCAAGCUCAGCUUGGUGUUGGGGCCUGCUGUAACUGGUAGCCCUUAAAAUCAGUGGCAGUGCUAUUAGGCUCUAAGCGUAGUAAUUCUUCUCGCUAUAGUGUGUAGUGAGCGCUUGCCAGAACCCCAAACUUUUAUAUGAUUGACCUCGGAUCAGGUAGGGAUACCCGCUGAACUUAAGCAUAUCAAUAAGCGGAGGA